GACCUAAUGGGGUCACUUCCCUCCCACCUCCAGGAGCAGCCUCUGACGCAGGCUUGAAAUCUGGGGCAGGAAUCCAACAUUCCAUAAAACCCUGUGCGCCUUAUCAGCAGAAACCACGUGAAAAGAGCACAGCUAAAGAUGGGGGAAGAGGUGCGAAUAUGACCGUGCUCAGGAUCUGUGACUGUCGUGCUGAUAAGGACUCCGCUUCUGGGUAGCUUUGGGCAAUGAGAACCAGUCACAGCUGGGGUUAUUCAUCUCCUUUGGAUGUAACUGAAAUCUCAUCUUGGAAAUCUUGGUCUUACAGGCAGUGGGCAGAAUGUAAAUAACCUACUUUGGAAAUCUGAGUUACCAGAGUCGCACGGAAGAUGCCGAAUCACCCCGCUGCAGACAGGCAGCCACCUGGUUCCACACUACAAAGACGCAGAGGACACCAGACCACCAGACCAUGGUACUGAGUCCCGCUGCUCCCGGCCCAGAGGAGAAAGAAUGCAUGGACCAGAUAAAAGGAGACUCCUGGCUCACUUGUCACUCUAUCUUUUGCUGUGAUUAGUUAACUGGCACCCUGAUUCAUGCUUCCAUCUGAAGAUGCUCUGCAGCAAUGAUUGACCAGAGUGUUGAGUGCCUCCCCAUAACAUGGUCUGGAAUAUUGGAUAACAGAGGAAGAGGAGCUGCUUGCUCCAGGAGCGUUUGCCAGAUAGAACUUUGCAAGAUAAUAACCAAAGAAAUGGGCUUGUUUGGUAAGUGCAAAUAUAAUAGGAUAGAGACUUCUAGAAAUCCAAGAUUGUCAUGUUGGAAAAGAC
rnacentral:lncRNA from 1 species